rnacentral:rRNA from 1 species
UACGAAGGGGGCUAGCGUUGCUCGGAAUGACUGGGCGUAAAGGGCGCGUAGGCGGAUGGUACAGUCAGAUGUGAAAUUCCUGGGCUUAACCUGGGGGCUGCAUUUGAUACGUGUUGUCUAGAGUGAGGAAGAGGGUCGUGGAAUUCCCAGUGUAGAGGUGAAAUUCGUAGAUAUUGGGAAGAACACCGGUGGCGAAGGCGGCGACCUGGUCCUUUACUGACGCUGAGGAGCGAAAGCGUGGGGAGCGAACAGG